rnacentral:tRNA from 1 species
GCAAUAGUAGCUUAAAUAUAAGAGCGCUGGUCUUGUAAGCCAGGGGUGAAUACUUACUUUUUCCUAUUGCU